UACGGAGGGUGCGAGCGUUAAUCGGAAUUACUGGGCGUAAAGCGCGCGUAGGCGGUUUGUUAAGUCAGCUGUGAAAGCCCUGGGCUCAACCUGGGAACUGCAGUUGAUACUGGCCGACUAGAGUAUGAAAGAGGGAGGUAGAAUUCCAUGUGUAGCGGUGAAAUGCGUAGAUAUAUGGAGGAAUACCAGUGGCGAAGGCG
rnacentral:rRNA from 1 species